GAUGCGGCUUUUCCUGUAGCCUGCACGUCUCUGGAAACGCCUCAUAGAGUAACUCGGUGGUUUUACUUUACUCACAGGACUCUUGUUAGAUCUGUGGGAAGGAACUACAAGACAGUU
ensembl:snoRNA